UAGGUGUGGGGACCAUUCCACGGUUUCCGCGCCGCAGCUAACGCAUUAAGUGCCCCGCCUGGGGAGUACGGCCGCAAGGCUAAAACUCAAAGGAAUUGACGGGGGCCCGCACAAGCGGCGGAGCAUGCGGAUUAAUUCGAUGCAACGCGAAGAACCUUACCAAGGCUUGACAUGUUCUCGAUCGCCGUAGAGAUACGGUUUCCCCUUUGGGGCGGGAUCACAGGUGGUGCACGGUUGUCGUCAGCUCGUGUCGUGAGAUGUUGGGUUAAGUCCCGCAACGAGCGCAACCCUCGUUCCAUGUUGCCAGCACGUCAUGGUGGGGACUCAUGGGAGACUGCCGGGGUCAACUCGGAGGAAGGUGGGGACGACGUCAAAUCAUCAUGCCCCUUAUGUCUUGGGCUUCACGCAUGCUACAAUGGCCGGUACAAUGGGUAGCGAUACUGUGAGGUGGAGCUAAUCCCAAAAAGCCGGUCUCAGUUCGGAUUGGGGUCUGCAACUCGACCCCAUGAAGUCGGAGUCGCUAGUAAUCGCAGAUCAGCAACGCUGCGGUGAAUACGUUCCCGGGCCUUGUACACACCGCCCGUCAAGUCACGAAAGUCGGUAACACCCGAAGCCGGUGGCCUAACCCUUGUGGGGGGAGCCGUCGAAGGUGGGGCUG
rnacentral:rRNA from 1 species